rnacentral:rRNA from 1 species
UACGUAGGGGGCAAGCGUUGUCCGGAAUCAUUGGGCGUAAAGAGCGUGUAGGCGGCCAGAAAAGUCCGCUGUGAAAACUCGAGGCUCAACUUCGAGCUGUCGGUGGAAACUUUCUGGCUAGAGUCCGGAAGAGGAGAAUGAAAUUCCUGGUGUAGCGGUGAAAUGCGCAGAUAUCAGGAAGAACACCCGUGGCGAAGGCGGUUCUCUGGGACGGUACUGACGCUGAGACGCGAAAGCGUGGGGAGCGAACAGG